CUGAGCCGAGGAAGAUUUCAUUACACGCAUAGUUCAUCCGAGUAGCUACUACUGCAAUGCGGAUACUAUAGCAUAGUCUUUCGCUCCUAUCUGAUGGCCAGC
rnacentral:snoRNA from 1 species